rnacentral:rRNA from 1 species
UGGGGAAUUUUGGACAAUGGGGGCAACCCUGAUCCAGCCAUGCCGCGUGAGUGAAGAAGGCCUUCGGGUUGUAAAGCUCUUUCGGCCGGGAAGAAAUCGCGCCAGCUAAUACCUGGUGUGGAUGACGGUACCGGAAGAAGAAGCACCGGCUAACUACGUGCCAGCAGCCGCGGUAAUACGUAGGGUGCGAGCGUUAAUCGGAAUUACUGGGCGUAAAGCGUGCGCAGGCGGUUUUGUAAGACAGGUGUGAAAUCCCCGGGCUUAACCUGGGAACUGCGCUUGUGACUGCAAGACUUGAGUGCGGCAGAGGGGGGUGGAAUUCCACGUGUAGCAGUGAAAUGCGUAGAGAUGUGGAGGAACACCGAUGGCGAAGGCAGCCCCCUGGGUCGACACUGACGCUCAUGCACGAAAGCGUGGGGAGCAAACAGGAUUAGAAACCCUGGUAG